UUUUUAGCAUAAGUAUGUUCCAUAUAAUAUCUGGAACGUAAUUAUACUAAAA
rfam:Pongo abelii chromosome 22, whole genome shotgun sequence.